rnacentral:rRNA from 1 species
UACGUAGGGCGCAAGCGUUAUCCGGAAUUAUUGGGCGUAAAGAGCUCGUAGGCGGUUUGUCGCGUCUGCCGUGAAAUCCCGAGGCUCAACCUCGGGCUUGCAGUGGGUACGGGCAGACUAGAGUGCGGUAGGGGAGACUGGAAUUCCUGGUGUAGCGGUGGAAUGCGCAGAUAUCAGGAGGAACACCGAUGGCGAAGGCAGGUCUCUGGGCCGCAACUGACGCUGAGGAGCGAAAGCAUGGGGAGCGAACAGG